GUAAUCUUUGUUACCUUAUUUCAAGCUUAAUAAUUCGUAAAAUUGAAUUUUCAGCAGAAUUAUAACUUUGUUUACUAGUGGUAGUAUAGGUUACCGUUAAGCUCAGAAUAUGAAUAAGAAAUAAUAUAUAGUGCAAUCAACCCGGUGAGAAAAAUAGUCUGUGUUAACAUUGUACUCGCAGCGAAGAUGACGUCCAUGCAUUUAUACCGUACCAGGAGAAUAAUAUAGGCAACUUAUACGGCACAAAUGCAUUUUUAAAAACUGCAGUUAAAACAAAUUAAUCUUAAAAAUGCUGUACAACUUGCAGAAGAUACAAUACGUUUUUUAAUAAAUAUGAGAGCAAAAUCAGGAAAAGAAUUUCUUAUUCAGUAUAUAUCAAUGGAAGUAAAAAUCUUUAUGUAAUUUUAAACAAAAAAUGUAUAACUUAAAUUCAUAUUUAUACUAGCUAUGUAACUUGCUGUCGGAAAAUUGUAAACGUUAUUGAUUUUGAAAUUAAAAUGAAAAAGACAACAAAAAAAUUAGAAACACCGAGCAAAUCAUAAAUUUGAUGACUAAAACCAAACAUUAGAAGUGUUCGCCGAAGCCGCUCCUGCGAAUAUGGCGGUUGGCAGCGACGACUCGUGAGGUGUUGGGAUUAAGUCGGCCAGUAGUGAAUGUGUAGAAUAAAAUAUUACUGAAAAAUGCUCCAUUAGAAAAAAGACCACAGAGACGCCCAAGAUUAAGAUGGGAAGACCGGGUAAAAGAAGACGUGGAAAAAGUAAAACCAGGAGAUGAUUGGAAGGAAUUAUCAUUAGAAAGGGAAAGCUGGAGGCGAAUUUGCUGGACGGUAUGGUCCAAAUGAGGCUGGUA